rnacentral:rRNA from 1 species
AUUGAACGCUGGCGGCAGGCCUAACACAUGCAAGUCGAGCGAGCGGCGGACGGGUGAGAAAUGUCUGGGAAACAGCCUGACGGAGGGGGAGAACUACUGGAAACGGUAGCUAAUACCGCCUACCCUCAGAUGUUACCCGAUGGGAUUAGCUCGUGGGUGGGGUAAUGGCUCACCUAGGGGACGAUCCGUAGCUGGUCUGAGAGGAUGACCAGCACCACUGGAACUGAGACACGGUCCGGACUCCAACGGGAGGCAGCAGUGGGGAAUAUUGCACAAUGGGCGCAAGCCUGAUGCAGCCAUGCCGCGUGUAUGAAGAAGGCCUUCGGGUUGUAAAGUACUUUCAGCGAGGAGGCGUUACUCGCAGAAGAAGCACCGGCUAACUCCGUGCCAGCAGCCGCGGUAAUUC